rnacentral:rRNA from 1 species
CCUACGUGAGGCAGCAGUAGGGAAUCUUCCACAAUGGCCGAAAGCCUGAUGGAGCAACGCCGCGUGGGUGAAGAAGGUCUUCGGAUCGUAAAACCCUGUUGUUAGAGAAGAAAGUGCGUGAGAGUAACUGUUCACGUUUCGACGGUAUCUAACCAGAAAGCCACGGCUAACUACGUGCCAGCAGCCGCGGUAAUACGUAGGUGGCAAGCGUUAUCCGGAUUUAUUGGGCGUAAAGGGAACGCAGGCGGUCUUUUAAGGCUGAUGUGAAAGCCUUCGGCUUAACCGGAGUAGUGCAUUGGAAACUGGGAGACUUGAGUGCAGAAGAGGAGAGUGGAACGCCAUGUGUAGCGGUGAAAUGCGUAGAUAUAUGGAAGAACACCAGUGGCGAAAGCGGCUCUCUGGUCUGUAACUGACGCUGAGGUUCGAAAGCGUGGGUAGCAAACAGGAUUAGAUACCCGGGUAGUC